GAUGAACGCUGGCGGCGUGCUUAACACAUGCAAGUCGAACGAUGAAGCCCAGCUUGCUGGGUGGAUUAGUGGCGAACGGGUGAGUAACACGUGAGUAACCUGCCCUUGACUCUGGGAUAAGCCCGGGAAACUGGGUCUAAUACCGGAUAGGAGCGCCUGUCGCAUGACGGGUGUUGGAAAGAUUUUUCGGUCAUGGAUGGACUCGCGGCCUAUCAGCUUGUUGGUGAGGUAAUGGCUCACCAAGGCGACGACGGGUAGCCGGCCUGAGAGGGUGACCGGCCACACUGGGACUGAGACACGGCCCAGUCUCCUACGGGAGGCAGCAGUGGGGAAUAUUGCACAAUGGGCGGAAGCCUGAUGCAGCGACGCCGCGUGAGGGAUGACGGCCUUCGGGUUGUAAACCUCUUUCAGUAGGGAAGAAGCGAAAGUGACGGUACCUGCAGAAGAAGCACCGGCUAACUACGUG
rnacentral:rRNA from 1 species